rnacentral:lncRNA from 1 species
AUAAAAUUCACACAUAAUCUUGCAACUAGGAGAUAAUUACUUUUGGGGGUAUAUCCUUGUAGUCAUUUUAUGUGCAAAUUUGGAAUUGCACUGGAAAUAUUGUUUUCACUCAAAAUAUUUAAUACGCAUAUUUCUGCAUCAUUAAAUGCACUUUUAAACCUGACUUUUAAUGACUACCUGGGAUUAAACACCUAUUCUAAAACCUGUUUAAUUGUCAUAUGGUAUGAAAUUCACACUGUUUGGUGGCUUAAAGACUGAGUUUGCUGGUCAAAUAAGGGACAAGGCAGGGAAGAAAUCUUAAACCAGUUACCUCUUUGUCUGUCUCCAGGGUGGGCAGGAGCUGAGAGCCGAUUGUUAAGUUUUCAGGAAUUUUGUGAGCUGGUUGUUAAGCCAUUGGUAGCUUCACAUUGGCCAUGGUCAGGAGUAUUUACGCCAGAGCAAUCAGCAAGUGCUGAAAAAUUAGGACGGUUCCCCCCAGAGAGCUGGUUUCCCAGCACAUUACUGUAGACUCUGAAUCUCCCUCCAUAGUGUUUGACUUAAAGGUUAAAAGAGAGAAAAUUCUUUCUCUUUUCAACACCCAAAAGACCAAGUCCUAGCAUCUUUUCGUUUAAUCUAAAAUUAAAUGCCGUAUCUUAAGACGAGCAAUUAAAGCCACAUUCUAAGGCCGCAUUCAUCUCUCCUGGAGAAAAAGCAAAAUAUCUGCAAGCAAAUGACUUAAGAUUUAAAAAAGGAAUCAAUGUUGGAUACAACUUUUUUGUUCUUCCUGAAUAAGAUAAAUAACUGGCAGUUGUGUGCCUGUGAACGAGCAGAGAAAGUUCAUUCGCGAUCACUUUUGAACUGAGGAAAGGUAAUGUAUUCUUUGAUCUAACAGACGUGUUCUGGGUACUGAUCGUUAAUCUUGUUUAAUGAGGGCUGAGUCCUGUUCGUAGAGUUCUGUGAUCUAGGCAGCUGAUCACGAUGGUGCCAGCGCAGUCAAGGCCAAGCUCUCUCAUCGUAGUCUCCGAGUGUUUACGCUUGUCUAGUUGUGACAGUAAACUAGAAGGCAGAGAGCGCGGAGGGAGGGGCUCUGAGGAAGGGAGGUGCUGCGGUCGGUUUUCUUGGCCCCAGUGUGAUUUCAAAUAGAACUGGCCUCAUUUCAUUCAUCAGCCCCUGUUGACCUCUGCUAGCUUGACCAAUUAUCUCUGUAACUUUUUUCUCCUCACCAAUUGGCACCGUGGUUUCUAGAUAUCCUCUGUCUACCUCUGAGGCAGGGAGAUGGCCACCGUACCCCUCAAGGGCACGUUCAACCUCAUAGCUCUCGGCAGUGAAAGGAAGCGAGAAAUGAUUCGAAGGAGGGAAAUGAGAAUCCACGAGCCGACUCUGCAGACUUGAGGCAAUGGACUAAUUUGGUCCUUUUCGUGACGUGACAGCCUUCACAUCCCUCUCCAUUAACCACCGUCUGCUGUUAGCAGGAGCUGCGGGCUGGUGAUUUUGGAGGCUUCCUGAGAAUCACAGAAAUUUUGAAAAUAUUGGAUGUGUGUUUGAUAACAUUUUCCAAACCAAAUAUAAGAGCGUAUAACCAUUUUGAAGAGAAAUGUGAAGUUUUCAAAAAGUUUUCCUUGAGGGGGACAGAGAGCUGUUUUGACUGUUGUGGCUGCUACCCCAGGGACGACUUUUCUGUUCUCAGAUGGCGUUUAACCAUCAUUUACUAUGUGCCGAGCACCAUGCUUGGAGCUCCACAUACGUCAUCUCACCCCAUGCUCACGGAAGCCUCUGACACAGGGCUCAUGACUCCCGUUUUGUAGGUGCAGACACUGAGACUCAGAGAAGGUAAACGGUCUGAAGUCCACCUCGGCGCAUGAACUCACCCAGUGCUUUCCUCCGCGUUGCUGCCUUGUCGCUCUGCUCGGAGCUGGGGUUGUGUUGUCUCUUGUUCUUAGCAGUAAAAUAUGCAAAGGGAAAUCGGAUCAGUCAUUAUAAUCUUAGCACUCUUAGUAUCUAGAAGGGGUUAGAGAUCAUGACCUUCCCCUUUUCUUUCUGUACGAUGAAGCUGAUGGAGCCUAUUGGGUGUGAGUUCUCUCCACUCCCCUUCUCCCAACCUUGAGAUUCUCUGCUGCCUCAUCUCCCAGCCUUUCCCCUCUGCCCAGAGGCGCUGGCUGGCCUCUGUUUCAAGCUCUCACCUCUGCUGCAUCUUGGAUCUCCCCUCCACUACCUCCUUUGCGACAUUUAUCUUACUUUCUUGUGCUUAUCACAUGGGACGUUAUACUUGACAUUUGUUUGUUAGUUUAUUGUCUGUCUCCACUGGAUUAUCGUCUCUGUGCAGUUGGGAGAUUUUAUCCUUCUUAUGGCCUGUGCUAAAGGGAGUGCAGCCGCAUAGGAUGUGCUCAUUUAAUAUUCAAUGGACUGAAUGAAUACUGCCGCCUCACAUGUCUAUUUUCUCACCUCUCCAGCCAUUGUCCGCUUUAUGGAUUCUUUUUCUUUUUUUUGCUGAGGAAGAUUUGCCCUGAGCUAACAUCUGUUGCCAAUCUUCCUCUUUUUGUAUGUGAGCCACCGUCACAGCAUGGCCACUGAGAGACAAGUGGUGUAGGUCUGCGCCUGGGAACUGAACCCAGGCUGCUGAAGUGGAGUGUGCUGAACUUAACCAGUAGGCCACUGGGGCCAGCCCCACCCAAUGGAUUCUUUAAUCUCACCCUACAAGCAAGCUCAGGUCUCUUCUUGGUGACACAUCCUUUCCUGGCCCAGCUACCUUGCUAAACUGCCAUCCCACUUAGAACCAACUCGUGCCUACCCACUCAUGACUUCAGAUCUCUCCUUUUCGUUGUCCACUCUGGGCAUUUUACUGAAACUGCUCCUUGCAGGCCACCGAUGAGCUCCUACCAAGUGUUACCAUCUGUCUGAAAUCCCUGACACUUCCAACGAUUUAAAAUCAUCCUCCUUUUUAAAAUUCUCUUCUCAGUUGUCCAUGUUUCUCAGUGAUGCAUGAUGAAAUACACAGCGGCAAAAUACCAUGAGGCUUGGGAUUUGCUGUGAAAUAUUUCAGGGAAGUAACCACAUGGCAAGAAGGAUUGCAUGGCCAGCAUCCUUGAUCAUUGCUGAUCCUCAUUGAAUGGGCACAGGUCUUCAUUAUGUAUAUCUCUACUUUUGUGUACAUUUGGAAAUUUUUAUCAAACCAAAAACAAAUGCCCCCUCAUGCUCUGUCUUCAGUGGCAUCUGACCCACCCUCUUGCCCAACACCUCCCUUGCUGCCCUUUCUGGUCGCGCUCCUUUCUCCUGCAUCCCUUGGUUCUGCCCUGGCCGUUGUCUCCCUCCAUAGUCUCUCUUGGAUACCCCCACCUGCCAUGGCAUUGAUGACCAUCCCUGAGUCUCUAAUUCCCACAGACCUGAACUGCUUCCCCCGGGCCCAGCUGCUGAAUCCCCAUGACCUGCAGAGACCACCCCAAUGCCCUCCAAGUGCAUGGAGCACAUGUGCUCCAACCAGAGCUCUUGUUUGCCCUCAAGGCCCUGCAUAGCCCUGCCCACUUCCUGUGCUUCCUGAGUUCUCAGUGACCUUGUCUUCCUUCUGGUGCCCUGGGUCCGAUACCCUAGAGUCACCAUGCCUGCCCCGCCUCCAAUGGAUGGCCAGUUCCCCUCUUCUUUCCCAAAGCCGCUUACUCCCCUCCCGCCCAUUUCUCCCAUUGGCUUCAUUAUCUCUUGCCUGAAUUGUUGUUUAGUUUGUCUUCAUGCUUUAAUUCCCUACCCCUGAUCCCAGGAACGCACCACUGUCAAAUGAAUCUUCCCACGUUCAGCCUCACCCCAAGCAUGCAGAAUGCACUUCUCUUAAUUCCAGACUCCAGGCUCUCAAUCUGGCCCCAUGUGGCCUCCCAACGCCAUCUCUCACUUUUCCUGUCUGGCACUCAGAGCUUUUACCAACGAGAACGCUCUCUGUGUCUCACACCUGCCCUUUUUCUAUGGAUACAGUUCUUACUUGUCCUUCAAGCUCCUGCCGGAAGGCCGCUUCCUCUGGGAAGCCCUUGCUGAUUUCUCAGUCAGCAGUAAUUCAUCCCACUUCGUCGUUCCUAAAUCAUUUCGGGAUGUUCUUGCCUCAUUUGGUUUUGUAAUGGAGUUUUGUGGGAACUUUUCCUGCAAGACUAGGAUGUUUUUUUCCCAGAGGCCCAACAUGUUGUGGAACCUUGUGUGUUGGAAGCAAUUAACACUCGUUAAAUGAGACAAUUUCCCCCCCCUCCCCCGUCUGCUUUGUGCAGUUACGAUGGUAAAUGGAAAAAUCUGAAAAUAAUCUCAGCUGAGAAACACUUUUAUGCUGAGAAUUGCUUUUAAUAUUUCAGAAUUGGCAUAUAAGACUAAAAAGAACCUACUCCAAAAUGUAGUGUUGGUGUGGGUUUAGAAUUCAGUGUUAACCAUGUAAAUAGGAAUUCAAGGGGAAUUUACCAAAUUGACCUCAUUUACAUGUGUAAUUAUCCACCUGUGAUCAUUCUACUGUCUUAUCUAUUCCGUCUUUCUCCUCCCACAUCAAGUUAAAAAUACUUUGUAUCAAGCAUUUUUUUCCUAACCAAAUACAAUGAAUUCUUGGAAUUGGGGUGUGCAUUUGUGUGUGUGUGUGUGUGUGUGUGUGUGUGUGUGUAAAUGCAGCUCUGCCACUUGAAACAAGAUGUGGAAGUACAAUGAAAUUACAACGUACUGUUGGUGUGGGUGAGAGGCUUAGAAGAUAGACAUCGUGAGUCAUGUUCAAGUGUGCACUUCACUAGGGGAGAUUUGGAGGUAAACGGCUUGGGGACAUCCCGCUGCUUUCAGUGAUCAGCAAAGCCAGGAAAGAAAACCAUGAGUUCUGCUCACCUGGAACUCCACAGGGCACAGUCCAUGGCAACUGGGAAUAGCUGCUUCCUCUGCUCAGAAGAUCUCUGAUAGGACAGGAAGGUGUCAGGGAGCUGGGCGCUGCCUUCUCAGGACACCCUCCUGGUGGGAAAAGGAUAAGCUCAGAGCUGGGGUAGAGGCCCUCGAGCUCGAAGCAAAAGAAAAGUGGUUACCCAGGUCCCUCAGUGUUUGGGUGUGCGAAGGAAUUGUGAGCCCUGGGGAUGCUUCCAGGGGCCUGUGGUCCCUGGAGCGAAGGGAUCUGAUGCAGCAGCCCUGGCCCCUCCAAGGGCAGGGGCCUCCCCUUGAGCCCCUGGCGACUCACAGGGUGGGCAUCGCCGCCGGGGAGCUCCUUAGAAAUGCAGACAGUCAGGCCACGCCCCCGCCUGCUGUGAAGCAGAACCCAAGUUCAGCAGGACCCCUGGUGGUCCCCAUGCACGUUCAAAUCUGAGAGGCACUGGUUUAGAAGACUGUGAAUAAAACACCCCUUUCGUGUGCUCAUUUGUUUUGUCACGAUUGUUCAUUUCUCUGAAUGCCGUAGUAGUUCUUUACGGUGCCUCCUUUUGACACCUGUAAAGUAGGUUAGUUUUACUCUCCAGCUUUGAGUUGGAUUUUUUUCUUAACCAGACCACAAGGGGCCGCAUCUCACCACAUAAACAUUCAUCACAUCCAGCCUGUUCCCAGCCACAGAGGCCGACUGAGGAGCUACAGGAGCCCCCUUCUCACAGGUACGUGGCUCCCGCUCUUGCAACCAAGCUCCUUAAUUGAAAUAAUGGUCAAGGCCUCUCCCCACUGGCUCCCCACCAGAUCACCAACAGCUUAGGUCACUCAGUAUUCAAUCCUGGAACUGUCCACACCUACACUCCCACGGAGCAUUUUCCGCAAGAGAUUUACAUUUCACACUGGGAAGGAAAACUGAUUUUUAGGAACCAGCAGACAAGCGUCAGGCAAUUUGGAAGUUGUGGUUCCUGAAUGGGUUCUUCCAGAGAGAAGCUACUAGAAGUGUUCCAGGUGAAUCAGACAAGCCUGCCUGCCUGCCUUCUGGAUUUUCACAAACUAAAGGCAGAGGGAGCACAGAACUUGCAGGAGGGCCUAGUGGGAGCAGAUACGAGCAUAUAGUAGAUGCUCCAUGGAUGAGCCAACAGCGUAGGAACAGAGAGGGGAGACUGCAGGUCUCCCGCCCACCCAUGGGAGAUCUUGGCACCGCCAGCCUGCCAGCAAUGCAGCUUGCAAGAAUUUCACGUUCCAGAUGCUGCCCUGUAAAUUCUGAAGGUCAUUUACAGAGAGAGAAGGUUCUGGAAAGGGUCUGCCAGGACCCUGGUGACAAAGUGAAGGAGUUAGAACAAAAGUCAAAGACAAUCAAAGAGAAGGAAGAUUUCCAAAGCGGUGUGUUCUGGAAUGUUCCCACAAGGAAACUUCUCUUGGUGGACUGUUCACUUGGGUGACUCUUGGAGCUUUUACUUUACUUGGAGUCCCUUGCUGGGGUUUGCGGAGCUCAAUAAGUCACACCCUCUUCUCCGUACCUGAAUUCUGAAGUGACUGAUGACAAGAAAAGAGGGAAGGAGAGUAUGUCCCAGAGGCACAGUAAUGAGUUUCUCAAUAGAAACCAUGGGAAAUCUUCCCAACAAAUGAUAGAGGAGUGACUGAGGGGCAGAGAGAGGCCCAAGCCUUGUGCUAGUGGAUGUCCUACCUCCUGAAAAGAAAUCUCAGGAAUAGGGAAGAAAAGCUUCUCCUCCAUGCUGGUGUUUUCCCCAGACAACCCACCCAAGAUGUUGAGGUGUGAGAAGUCUUUACUGAGAGCUUGAUAUGACAGAGGGGGCAUUCACACUGAGGACACCGACAGCUUAACACUCAGUAUCAGCCAUCAGCCCUCCUUGUCUUUGGAAGUCCUUUGACUAGACUGCCACCAAGAAUUCUUCCCUGGUCUCCUCCUUCCAAGCUGCAGCCUCCUCUUGUGUCAUUGCAUCUUCUGCUCCUUGAAGAGACUUCUGCAAAAUUCCUCUUAUUACGCAGACAGAAUUUUAGCUGUUCGCUCCCUGCACUGGACACCGAGGAACACUAAGGCGCUCUGCCGUCAUCUUUCUGCUUUGGGUUUCACCCUCUAGUAUCUCAGAAGAGCUGGGCACACAUAGGAUUUUUUUUUUACACAACUGAACUUUGAAGUCAACAUUCCACCAACAGGAGGAAACUGCCUCUCUUAUGCGGAGCUAAGAGAGAUCUUUUUCAGGAAACUAAUCCUCACAGUGUGAGCAACAACCGGCAGAGAAAAGAAUACGUCUGACUUAAGAGGAGUCACUGGACAUGGUGCAUUCAUUAAGAUGCGGGAAGGACUUGGGACGCACUCACAGCUGAGGAAGGGAGCGGCAACAUGGGCCGAAAGAACAAGGCUGUCGUGGGGGCCAUAUUGGGGUUGAC